CCUACGGGAGGUAGCAGUGGGGAAUAUUGGGCAAUGGAGGCAACUCUGACCCAGCAACGCCGCGUGAAUGAUGGAGGUCUUCGGAUUGUAAAGUUCUGUGAUGGGGGAUGAACACAAUGACGGUACCCCAAUAGCAAGCCACGGCUAACUACGUGCCAGCAGCCGCGGUAAUACGGAGGAUGCGAGCGUUAUCCGGAUUCAUUGGGUUUAAAGGGUGCGCAGGCGGGCCUUUAAGCCGGCGGUGAAAUCGCGGGGCUCAACCCCGCCGAGCCGUCGGAACUGGGGGCCU
rnacentral:rRNA from 1 species